UCAGGAGGGAGGUGCUGUGCUGGGCACAGGGCCUGGAACUGCAGAGGAAGGCCUGCAGCGAGACACAUAAAAUGCCUCCUUCCUCAGCAGCCGCUUCCAAGCUGCAGAGAGUGAGUGGGCAGGGAAGAGACAUCUACCAGCAAAGUUCCAACAGAAGUGGAUGUCUGCUUGGCAAUGCAGAGGGGCUGCUAACAGCCGGUAUGCCACGGUGCCAGGAAUGGAAGCCCUUCCUUGGGGAAGCCCCAACUGCAGAGAAGCCUGUGCCCCAAAUCCAUCAAUCCAACUGCAACAAAGCAUUUUCAGCUAAAUCAGGAUACUCUACUUCCUGUCCUAAACUAUGUGCAGUGUUAUCUCACACUGUUAAAAGCUGCUGUGUUCUGUCACAGAAGUAGGUGCAUUUCAGUGGCAGGUGAAGGAACUCCUGUGAGAAGAUAAGAUCCGAUCUUGCAUCCACUGAAGCCAAUGGGAGUUUUGCCAUAGUAUUCAAUAGGAGAAUUGGACUCUGACAAGCAUGGAUCUGCUAUGUAAUAAUCUAAGCAUACUGAUAUGUACCGUAGUUACUGAGAUAGACUGUAUAACUUAUAUGGGGGGGGGGACAUUUAUUACAGACUUUUACCGCUUUAAUUCAAUGAGGGCUGUUGGCAGAACAAGUAGGGUGGUCACACAAUGGCCCCCCAGAUAAGAACAUCUUGGCAUACACUUGAAAUACACUGGGGCUGAUCAAAAGGACUAAGCAGCUUUGAAAGGACAUUCUCUCAACACUGGCAAGAGAACUGGUUUAUGAGUUAAGGGAACAGAUUAUAUCACCCAGACCCUCGCUCUCUUGGGAGGUCUAUAGCAAGCUUAGACCUACCAGGAAUGCCCUGUGGAAGAUGGACAGACACCUGGUAAG